CUGAGCUGUGUGCUUGGAAUUCACUGGUGAGAGAGAUCAGCCCAUGGCCCUGCCCUCUGGACAGAAAUGGGGGAAGACAGACCAAUAAACACUUAGACUGCAGUGUCCAGUCAAACCUGGUCAUAAACCCCAACGACACAAUCCCAAAUGGAAUAAUCCCAAAUGUUGAAAUCCUAAAAAUCAAUUCCCAUUGAGGUGGGAAGCUCUGUAAGAAGGGUGGAGCGCUGAAUCUUGGAGGAGGGAUUAGUGCACCUUCUGUUGGACACAGGAUAGCUGUCUCUUGGAGUUGAACAAAUACCUAGCAACCCAGAAAGCUUUAUUUUGAGGGUGUUUGCAAGGGAGUUUCCAGAAGGGGGAUUAGUUUGUAAAUCUGAGCAGACCAGGUGGGGAAGGUCUGCCACAUGGAACAGGAGUGUGAACGUGUUCUCUCAGGAGAGAGCCAUUGAAAGUAAAAAU
rnacentral:lncRNA from 1 species